rnacentral:misc_RNA from 1 species
CCCCACGUUUCAUCAUUUGUUGCUCCAUGAUGCGUUACAUUGGAUGCUAAAUGCGGUUCCUGUGUUGCAUACCUAUCGAGAUGGGAAGUACRUCCCUUUUGUUGUCCCUUUCGUCGCGAUGUCCUUCCGGGCGUUCGAUGGAGUAGAUGGUGGCUCUUGUGUUCCACGAACAUCUCGAUCGAUUGUUUCGAUGGACCAUGAUUGCCUACCUGUUUUCUCGGAUGCGGAGCCUUUUUGCAAUGGGUAUGGGGUCAUCGGCCCUUGUUCCCCAAGUGUUAAGCGUCUUUCGCUUUCAUAAGACGACGCUCUUGCCUUGCGUUGGCCACGUGCAGCUCUUGGGUUACACGAUGGAUCAUGCAAGGCGGACGUCAUGGAGGAAUGCUACCUGGUUG